AGAAACCUCCAAAAGAUAAAGCAAUUGAAAACAGAAUAAAACAAGAAACAAAAAGAAAACAAGGUUUCCACCUUUGGCUCCCAAACAUAACAAAGCAUCAUGAAAGUAUACCCUCAAAUACCCUCAAAGUACUGUAUUUAAAAUUUAUUUUGGUUUAAUUUUAUAGUUGGUUUAAUUUUUUAUGCUUUUCUUUUGUUAUGUUAUGUUAAUGGGAAGCAGUGGUUGUUAAAGUAGUGCUUCUAAACAGUUAACAAAAGUGAAAUUGGUAUCGCAAGCAAAUUAACUCUAAAAAGCUUGGUAAAAAUUCUGUUAACUCCUUUGCUGAAACAAAUUGUUCAGCAAGGGAAAGCAAUACACAUUCGCAUGGAAGAUUGUGAGCAUUUAUUUUAUCCGUUAAGCAUUACAUUUCGUAUAAAAAUAUUAGUAAUGCACUUCAAAUGAAAAUGAAUGUCUAUACAACAAUUGCAAAAGUAUAGCUUGUGUUAUAAAAGGCUCGGUCCCUAUUACCUUGUUCUUAUUACAUUGUAAACAAACUAAGUUAAACUGUGUAUUAAGUUUGGGUUACAGAAAACAAAAACAAAA